GGGGAAUAUUGCGCAAUGGGGGAAACCCUGACGCAGCAACGCCGCGUGAUUGAAGAAGGCCUUCGGGUUGUAAAGAUCUUUAAUCAGGGACGAAACAAAUGACGGUACCUGAAGAAUAAGCUCCGGCUAACUACGUGCCAGCAGCCGCGGUAAUACGUAGGGAGCAAGCGUUAUCCGGAUUUACUGGGUGUAAAGGGCGCGCAGGCGGGCCGGUAAGUUGGAAGUGAAAUCUAUGGGCUUAACCCAUAAACUGCUUUCAAAACUGCUGGUCUUGAGUGAUGGAGAGGCAGGCGGAAUUCCGUGUGUAGCGGUGAAAUGCGUAGAUAUACGGAGGAACACCAGUGGCGAAGGCGGCCUGCUGGACAUUAACUGACGCUGAGGCGCGAAAGCGUGGGGAGCAAAC
rnacentral:rRNA from 1 species